CUUGAAUUCGGAAUGAUUGGACAUGAGACCCUACAACCAUAGGAGGAAACUGAUUUCCAGUAAAAAUGAGUGCAGCAUCCAUACUGCCUGGCUCAUGAAGUCUGAACCACUGCAGCCAUGUUUCCAGCACUCCCAAGUGGGUGAUAUUCCUGGGAAGGAUGGCAGAUGAAACCAUUAAAGAAGACAAAAGUGAACAGGAAUAUCAAGACAAAAGGCUCAGCUUAAUUACUAAUAAAGGUGAGUGUGAAGAAUAUGGUUUUACAUAGUUAUAGGCAAACUAUAUUUCUAAUAUGAAUACCAGAUUUAAGCAGGUUUAUAUACCCCAUAGAUGCCAUGUAAUAUGCUACAAAUCUGAGCGCUUCUGAAGACAUAUAGUAUGGAAGAGACAA